rnacentral:rRNA from 1 species
AAAUUGAAGAGUUUGAUCAUGGCUCAGAUUGAACGCUGGCGGCAGGCCUAACACAUGCAAGUCGAACGGUAACAGGAAGAAGCUUGCUUCUUUGCUGACGAGUGGCGGACGGGUGAGUAAUGUCUGGGAAACUGCCCGAUGGAGGGGGAUAACUACUGGAAACGGUAGCUAAUACCGCAUAACGUCGCAAGACCAAAGAGGGGGACCUUCGGGCCUCUUGCCAUCGGAUGUGCCCAGAUGGGAUUAGCUUGUUGGUGAGGUAACGGCUCACCAAGGCGACGAUCCCUAGCUGGUCUGAGAGGAUGACCAGCCACACUGGAACUGAGACACGGUCCAGACUCCUACGGGAGGCAGCAGUGGGGA